CGUGCUGUGAUGAAACACACUAUGCCGUCUGAUUUUGCUUCCGUGCGGAAAACCAGAGGCUGUUUCUGAGCCUG